AUGUUCACUCUUAUAUUCAUGUGUCUGUGGGUUUCAUUAGGUGACCCAAUGGCAGAACAAAUAGAGACACUUUUCACUUAUAAAGCUGUAGAUGAAGGUGAUAAUGUUACUCUGUCCUGCAGCUACAAAAACAGUGGUUCAGUAAAUAACCUGCAGUGGUACAAACAAACUCCAAAAUCUAAAGCUGAGUUCCUUUUUUUAUCACUCGAACUGGAUUGAAAAGUGACCCAAUGCCACCACGUCUGUCUGCUGAAGUUGAUGAUAAAAAUAAACAAGUGGAUCUGAUCAUCUCCUCUGCUGCUGUAUCAGACUCUGCUCUAUACUACUGUGCUCUGAAGCCCACAAUUUGUGAGGGCUUCGUAAACAGGCUUUAUUACAAGCUGUGA